CUUAAUAUAGCUGGUUGAUCCGAGCUUCCAUUUUCUAUCCUCCACAAUCAUCCCACAUAUUUCAUCUCCCUCAUCAAUUUUCAGCACAUCAGCUACUGAACAAAUUCAGAAGAUUUGCAGAAUGAUAACCCAACAGAUUUCUUUUGAAGGCUUUGUGGACCAAGGGGAUUAGCGCUGCUUUCCCAAGACGAGUUUAUGUAAUUAUGAUCUUCAGGCUUUGCCUAUCCAGGUUGAGCAGUUGAUGGAAUGGAAUGAUGUUGAGCGGGUGUUCCUUUGACAUUUCAAGAAAUGUAACCUUGAGUAUACAUCUUCAUAUGUAUAUCUCACACGUUUUCCGCUGCAAAACACUUUGAUUAGGAUAACUUUAUGUUAUGAAGUUGUGACACGUGUUAUUGGGUAACCCACCUUAAUCAGUUCUCCUUUAUGUGUAUGUGUUAUAAGUAUCCAAAUGAUCAUAUAUGAUCCUAGCUUUUUAUCUAUGAGUGACAUUUCCAUAUACUUUAAUGUUAAGUAAUUGUCCAUUUCCA